UCGGCGCACGGCUCAGUAAAACGUGGACAACCUGCCCUCGGGUGGGGGAUAACCCCGGGAAACUGGGGCUAAUACCCCAUAGGUGAUGGGUGCUGGAAUGCCCCAUCACCCAAAGCUCCGGCGCCCGAGGAUGGGUCUACGGCGGAUUAGGUUGUCGGCGGGGUAACGGCCCGCCAAGCCGAAGAUCCGUACGGGCCAUGAGAGUGGGAGCCCGGAGAUGGACCCUGAGACACGGGUCCAGGCCCUACGGGGCGCAGCAGGCGCGAAACCUUUACAAUGCGGGAAACCGUGAUAAGGGGACCCCGAGUGCCCCUGCCACGCAGGGGCUGUCCGGGUGUGUAAAAAGCACCCGACAGCAAGGGCUGGGCAAGACCGGUGCCAGCCGCCGCGGUAACACCGGCAGCCCGAGUGGUGGCCACUAUUAUUGGGUCUAAAGCGUCCGUAGCCGGCCUAGUAAGUCUCUCGGGAAAUCCGGCGGCUUAACCGUCGGGCGUCCGAGAGAUACUGCUAGGCUUGGGACCGGGAGAGGCCGAGGGUACUCCCGGGGUAGGGGUGAAAUCCUGUAAUCCCGGGAGGACCACCGGUGGCGAAGGCGCUCGGCUGGAACGGGUCCGACGGUGAGGGACGAAAGCCAGGGGAGCGAACCGGAUUAGAUACCCGGGUAGUCCUGGCUGUAAACGAUGCGGGCUAGGUGUCGGGUGAGCUACGGGCUCAUCCGGUGCCGGAGGGAAGCCGUGAAGCCCGCCACCUGGGGAGUACGGCCGCAAGGCUGAAACUUAAAGGAAUUGGCGGGAAUCACUA
rnacentral:rRNA from 1 species